rnacentral:ncRNA from 1 species
UUUUGUUUAACUAUGGCAAUAAGAAGCUCUGAGAGAGUUUAGCUGCAUAAAAUUAUUAUAUUAUUGGACAUGCUAACUUUUGUGUGUGUAUUAGCAGUUAGUUUUUCAUUGAAACAAACGUUUUCUAAGAAGCUUUCUUUAAUGAGGGGAUAGGACACAGUGCCAGCAUCCGCGGUUAAUCUGUUUUCUUUGCUUUUUUAUGGUUUCUGUAUAAAAGAUUAAAUUUAAGGUUAGGUGAAAUUUUCUUAUUAAUAUAUUUAACUUUUACUAUUUAUACUGUAGUAUCGAAUGACAGGGAUUAGAUACCCCAUUAAUUUACUAUUUAUUGUGAUCUAGUUUUAUAACUAAAAUAGUUUGGCAGCGAGUUACCCCCUUUGGGGGAAGGUGUGUUGUAAAGGAUGAUCCGCCUAUUAUUUUACUCUGGUUAUGUUGGUGUAUAUCUGGUUUAACAUUAUUGCUUAGUAGCUGAAUUUGUGUAUUAACUAUUUAAGCCAAGUCUAUGUGCUGCAUGCCUGAGAUUUUCAUGCGUUACAUUUAUAUAAGAAUACUUGAAAGAUAUUUUAGUUAAGGACUCAAAAGUAAUAAAGGUUUAUUUUGCCUUUGUGAAAAGGGUUUAACUCGGGUACACACCGCCCGUCACCCUCGAUUGUUGUUGAGGUAAGUCGUAACAUGGUAACCACAAAUGAAUUUGUGGUUAAUUAUUAGUGCU